UUUUAUGAGAAAAAGAUCUUUGCUCUUAACAGAGCUCAGUGUCCUGCCGAUUUUUUCUCACUUCAUGUCAUAAUCUUCUGUGACAUCACAAUUAAUUCCUGUGGAGAUGAUUAUGGAGACAUAGCGAGGAUUAUGAUUUCAGGAAAGUGAUAAACAGCAGGCACAGAAUAAGGCCUUCUUUUACUUCUCAAGGAUUACCAGCUUGGUAACAGCAAAAGCCAAGAGGGGGGAGAAAAAGUGAUUUGCCAGACCCAUGGGCACAGUGGGAUACUUGUCUUCUACAUUUGUACUUCUCAUCAACCAACCAACAAACAAACACCAAAAAACUAAAGCUGUUGAAAUUGAUGAAGCAAACCACAAUGUCUCAAGCUUUAGAAAAAAUGUUCCUGGUAUAUCAAAUGGAAUAGAAAAUUCUUUGAUCUUUGGAACUCUUGUUAUCUGAUGCAACCAAGAAUCAAUAAUAAAGAAAUGGUGAAUAUUUGUUAUAAUGUCCUGAGGCUCAGCAUUAGUGACAAGGAUAUUUCUAACUACCAACUAAUAAAUGGAUCUUGAUUUAAUGAAAAUUGUGUAUUAAGGGAUCCUGUUCUGUCAACCAAAGGGGGUUCGAUUCGAUCUGUCCUGUUCAUGUCAUGAAAUGCUUCAUUUCACCUUUCCUCAAAGGAAUUGAUACCAGCUAGCCCUAGACCUCCACAAUUAAGGGGACCAGCAGGAAGCAAUCUAUUAGUGAUCGUUGGAAGGAAUAAGGAUCAGCCCCAAAAUGAGUUAAUUGAUCUUCUAGUAAGACACAGGCUUCAAAAUUGGCUGGUAGUAGGAACACCCAGGCCACCAACACCACUGAGCCACCCCAGAUGGUUGUUUCAGUGGUUGGGAACCAACCAUAAACUGAACUUGUGAGACACUUCAUCAAGAUUUCUGCACUUGAGCCGAAGAAGCUGGAGUAUUAAUUCCUCGGAUGUUUGAAUCACAAUAUGUGCAAUAAAGAAACCACCCACA